AUCAGAACUGGUGGCCUCAGUGUGCGAUGGUGUUCAGGUGCAGGUGGGGUUAGCGGGGUUUCCGGUUUUCGUUAGAGACAGCUGCAGAAAGGUUAUUGCCAGACCGAGGCUGCAAAGUUGCAGAGGGACCAUGUUCUGGGCCUAAGGCUGGGACAGGUUCCACCAGAUGUCCUCUCACCCACACCACCAACCCCUGGCCCACCCAGAAACCACAGGAGAACCUCUUCCUCCUGCAGGGCCCCUCCAGUGCCUGCUACUGAAAAAGCUUAACACUUUAAGCUCACUUACUUUUAAAAUUGUAUUUAUUAUACUGUGUUUGUGUGUCUAUAUAUAUUAUAAAAAUAUAAUUUUACUUUAUUGCUGACUUUAAAGGAGAAAUACUUAAAGGAAUCCCAUUGUAUAUCCCAGAGCAUAAUGAAGGGUGUAUUUGGAGCUGAGAAGCAAUAAAUUGAUAGCUGACACAGGCAGUCAAACAUUCUAAGGGGAACUGAAAAAUGUGGUCAUUCUCCGGGCUGUUUUAGCUCCACUACUGAACAGCUAGCUGUGCUGGAUUUCAUAACGCAUCCCCAGACCCUGAGAAAUUGCUUAAUGCUCAUUCUGGGUAUCAACUUGGGGCACUUGGCUAGUUUGCAGCUCUAAAGAGGGUCAGCUCAGUUUCUGCCGUGGCUUCAGUGUGACAGCUCUGUGCUCUCCUUCUUUCCUUCCAGCUGCUGUGUGCGCUGUCUGGGAAGUUCUACUCCAGCAUUCGACUGACCUUCCCCAGCACACUCACAGGUCAUUGUUCUGGGACACUCACAUUUCCCACAGUUCCAGACCAGUGGGUUAUACCACAUGCUCCACUUUCCACUGUCUCUCUUUGGGGAAAAAAAAAUCAGGCUCUUCCAUGGUUGUUUAAUUUUCUUGAUGGUGCAAACAGCUUCUGUCACGAGAGAUCAUUUUUAGGAGACCAGGUUCUAGAAUCAGACAUCCCCCAGUGCCAGCAUUUAGUUAAGUUGUGCAUCAAGUCUUGAAACCUGUUUUCUCAUC
rnacentral:lncRNA from 1 species